GGCGUUGUGGCUCAGUGUUAGAGUGCUCGCCUAGCAUGUGCGAGACCCUGGAUUCAAUCCUCAGCACCCCA
rnacentral:tRNA from 1 species